AGUGAACGUUGGCGGCGUGGAUUAGGCAUGCAAGUCGAGCGAGAACCGUAGCAAUACGGGGACAGCGGCGAAAGGGACAGUAAUGUGUAGGUACCUACCCCCGGGUUCGGGAUAGCUGCGGGAAACUGCAGGUAAUACCGAAUAAUGUCUCCGGACCAAAGAUGUGAUUCCACCUGGGGAGGGGCUUGCAUCCUAUUAGCUUGUUGGUGGGGUAACGGCCUACCAAGGCGACGAUGGGUAGCGGGUGUGAGAGCAUGACCCGCGUCAUUGGGACUGUGGUACUGCACAGACAGCUACGGGUGGCUGCAGUGGAGUAUCGUCGGCAAUGGGCGCAAGCCUGACCGAGCGACGCCGCGUGCGGGAUGAAGGCCUUCGGGUUGUAAACCGCUGUCGUAGAGGAGGAAAUGCAGGGGGGUUCUCCCCUUUGCUUGACCUAUUCUAGGAGGAAGUACGGGCUAAGUUCGUGCCAGCCGCCGCCGUAA
rnacentral:rRNA from 1 species